rnacentral:rRNA from 1 species
GACGAACGCUGGCGGCGUGCCUAAUACAUGCAAGUAGAACGCAGUUGCUAACGGGUGAGUAACGCGUAGGUAACUGCCUGCUAGCGGGGGAUAACUAUUGGAAACGAUAGCUAAUACCGCAUACUACCAGAUGGACCUGCGUUGUAUUAGCUAGUUGGUGGGGUAACGGCUCACCAAGGCAACGAUACCUAGCCGACCUUGGAGGGGGAUCGGCCACACGGGGAAUGAGACACGGCCCAGACUCCUACGGGAGACAGCAGUAGGGAAUCUUCGGCAAUGGACGGAAGUCUGACCGAGCAACGCCGCGUGAGUGAAGAAGGUUUUCGGAUCGUAAAGCUCUGUUGUAAGAGAAGCGGUAUCUUACCAGAAAGGGACGGCUAACUACGUGCCAGCAGCCGCGGUAAUUC